rnacentral:rRNA from 1 species
GAAAGGCGGAGUAUAAACUAAUGGAUAGGUUUUUUCCACUCAUUGGUACAAACUCCAAAACUUCUUCCAAAUUCGACCUCAAAUCAGGUAGGACUACCCGCUGAACUUAAGCAUAUCAAUAAGCCGGAGGAAAAGAAACCAACAGGGAUUGCCUUAGUAGCGGCGAGUGAAGCGGCAAAAGCUCAAAUUUGAAAUCUGGCACUUUCAGUGUCCGAGUUGUAAUUUGAAGAAGGUAUCUUUGGGUCUGGCUCUUGUCUAUGUUUCUUGGAACAGAACGUCACAGAGGGUGAGAAUCCCGUGCGAUGAGAUGUCCCAGACCUAUGUAAAGUUCCUUCGAAGAGUCGAGUUGUUUGGGAAUGCAGCUCUAAGUGGGUGGUAAAUUCCAUCUAAAGCUAAAUAUUGGCGAGAGACCGAUAGCGAACAAGUACAGUGAUGGAAAGAUGAAAAGAACUUUGAAAAGAGAGUGAAAAAGUACGUGAAAUUGUUGAAAGGGAAGGGCUUGAGAUCAGACUUGGUAUUUUGUAUGUUACUCUCUCGGGGGUGGCCUCUACAGUUUACCGGGCCAGCAUCAGUUUGAGCGGUAGGAUAAGUGCAAAGAAAUGUGGCACUGCUUCGGUAGUGUGUUAUAGUCUUUGUCGAUACUGCCAGCUUAGACUGAGGACUGCGGCUUCGGCCUAGGAUGUUGGCAUAAUGAUCUUAAGUC